UUGGGAACAAACCUGUGAUCUACAAGGAAAAAUACGAAAUACCUUAUACAAAUCACCAAAGGCUUCCAGAUGGUAAUAUAACUCCGUGAAAGAAGUUUUGUUUUGUUUUGUUUUUCUUUUUCUCCUCUGAGUGAACAGCUAUGUAUUAAGGUUUGAUGAGGGGCAACUAAUGGAGAAGCAGACACAGGAGUCAGACAGCUGGGGAUCCAAAUCGGCUUCAUUACUGGAAGAGCUGAGUGGGAGAAGAUGGUUUGGAUCUCAGCCAGAUGCACUUCCCAAUACAUCCUCCUCGAACUGAAUUUGCGAAGCUGGACCCUGACACGGCCAGGCAUCUCCGGGUCUCCCUUGCGGGGACGGGCUUGCUGAGAGCGAGUCUGGAGGACGGGCCAUUCCCAAAGAGGGAACACCCAGAGCCUGUUCUGCAUGUCUUAUCAAGCAGUUAAACCACUUUUUGCUUGGGGAAGAGGUUGGGGGGUGAGGGGGGAACAAACGGUCUAUCCUUCCGGGGAGGAGAAUUUCCCUCCCUUCAGUGGAAAGAAAGGGGAGAAGAAUUGAAGAAGCUUCCUUGCCAGCACCAUCCAAGAUGAUAACAAGAUAUUCUGGGAGCUGGGACCUAGUAAGAGCCUGAGGUCGGACCUGCAACACGUGAAACUCAGCAGCUACUGUUUUUCCGCUGCGUGGACUGGGGAGAUGGUCCGGGCUCAAAGGAAGAGUGAGACUAACGUGUGGACGGAAACAGAAGAAGGGAAAAUUGGAAGAGCGAGCAGAGGAGGGGCAGAGAGAGAGGGAGACAGAGGAUCCGAAGCAGGCUCUGCGCUGUCAGUGGGCGAUGUGGGGCUCGAACUCACCAACCUCGAGAUCAUGAUCCCAGCCAAAGUCCGACGCUUAACUGAGACACGCAGGUGCCCCCAACUUGAGUUUAUUCUUGAUGCUUAUUUGCACUCCUGAUCUUGAGUUUCAUCAGGGACCCCAACUUCUUUCAAUGGUUUCCCUUCUUGCUUGAGCUAGUUAGGGCAGGUUUCUGUUAUUUAUAAUUAAAGGAAUGUGUAUGGACACGUGCUCAGAAAAGCCAAGGAAGCUAUAAUAGUGGAAAAGUGGUUAUUAUAUUAAACUACAGG